rnacentral:rRNA from 1 species
AUGAUUUUCCUAACCGAGGAUGGGAGCCGCGGCGGCAUCACCUUGGUAUAUCUGUGGCAGGUCCAGCGGAAAGUCCGUGCGGAAGUAUACGUGCUGGGAUCCGGCGGUUGGGGCUUCCCUGCCACCGCAAUGACAGAGGUCCCGAAUCCUGCAGCCUUCCUUACAAAAAUGCUACCACCCGUCCGUGGCAAGGUUUUCAUGGUGACCAGCUUUGGGUGCAUCCUGGGUCUAGAUUUGGCUGCGGCAAGGUUCCUCAUGCUCGAGCUCCCAGCUGGAAUAGGGCGCAAUUACAUGCUCUCAUCUGCCGAGGGUUCCGGGAUAUAUCUUGUCAAUGCAGACGGGUUUCAGCUCAGUGUGUGGCUCCAUCGGAUGAUGAGCAACAGCGAUGGUGCGAGCGGCUGGCUGCUGGUGGACACAUUUUGUGUCCGCGAGGCAUACAGUUCUGCUGGUCACAAUUGGGUUUGGAUGCCACAAGAUGGCGAUUUUCUUGGUGUUGAUGCAGUUGGGGACAAUGCCGAGUUUGUAUUCUUGGAUUAUGCGAGAUAUGGUGUUGUCCUUUAUGUUCAUCUGAGGAGCAGGGUUGUUAAGAAGGUGUAUGAGCAGGCACCGUAUCAUCAUGGUUUUUUUCGUAUGGGUUUGAGCCACAUACAUGUCUCUCCCUUUAUGAUGGUCUGGCCGCCUGUUUUCCCUGCAAAGAAAAGGGACACAAUCAAGAGCAAUGAUCCCGCUGUGCUUUGA